rnacentral:misc_RNA from 2 species
CUGAGUGAGGGCCCUCUGGGUCCAACCUCCCACCCGUGUUUAUUGUACCUUGUUGCUUCGGCGGGCCCGCCCUUGUGGCCGCCGGGGGGCAUCUGCCCCCGGGCCCGCGCCCGCCGAAGACACCAUUGAACUCUGUAUGAAGAUUGCAGUCUGAGCUUUAAGCUAAAUUAGUUA